rnacentral:misc_RNA from 1 species
AAGUCGUAACAAGGUUUCCGUAGGUGAACCUGCGGAAGGAUCAUUAUUGAAUAAACCUGAUGGGUUGUAGCUGGUCUCUCCGGAGGCAUGUGCACGCCUGUCUUCUUUAUAUCUCCACCUGUGCACCUCUUGUAGACCUGGAUAGUUAUGCGCCUUUCUUUUUUGAAGGCGGUUUUGAGGACUGCUGAUGUCGAUAAGACCGGCUUUCCUUACAUUUCCAGGCCUAUGUUUAUCAUAUACCCCAUUGUAUGUAACAGAAUGUAUCAAUGGGCCUCAGUGCCUAUAAACCUUAUACAACUUUCAGCAACGGAUCUCUUGGCUCUC